rnacentral:misc_RNA from 1 species
AAGUCGUAACAAGGUUUCCGUAGGUGAACCUGCGGAAGGAUCAUUAACACGUAUCCAACGUUAAACCCCCCGUGAACCUUCAUUGUGCUCCCCCAUUCCGUUAGGACGCGGCAAUCCCUGGUAAAUCAUCGCCGAACAGUUUUGAUUCAGGGACCUCUGCAUGGAGUGGGCAGCAGCGCGAGGCAAGUGGCCUGGCAUUCGAAAGAAUGGCGCAGUAACGAUCGCUAGAGGCCGACACGGCCGGCGACCGGGUCACUGGGCUCACGCCCCCCUAUCACCUUUGCAUGAAAACGGGCCUGCGCUUAAUUGUGCGGCCACCAAACUCGAACAACUGUUAACAAUGGAUAUCUUGGUUCUC